UUUAAAGCGUGCAGAACCAUGAGCCA
rnacentral:piRNA from 1 species